rnacentral:rRNA from 1 species
UACAGAGGGUGCAAGCGUUGUUCGGAAUUAUUGGGCGUAAAGCGUGCGCAGGCGGUUCGUUAAGUCAGCUGUGAAAGCCCCGGGCUUAACCUGGGAAUGGCGGUUGAAACUGGCGAACUUGAAUCUGGCAGAGGGGGGUGGAAUUCCACGUGUAGCAGUGAAAUGCGUAGAGAUGUGGAGGAACACCGAUGGCGAAGGCAGCCCCCUGGGCUGAGAUUGACGCUCAGGCACGAAAGCGUGGGGAGCAAACAGG